UUGGUAGUUGGCUCCCAGGCGUCGACGGGUAGCCGGCCUGAGAGGGUGACCGGUCACACUGGGACUGAGACACGGCCCAGACUCCUACGGGAGGCAGCAGUGGGGAAUAUUGGACAAUGGGCGGAAGCCUGACCCAGCAACGCCGCGUGAGGGAUGACGGCCUUCGGGUUGUAAACCUCUUU
rnacentral:rRNA from 1 species